rnacentral:rRNA from 1 species
GCAAGUCGAGCGGAACGAUGCCUAGCUUGCUAGGAGGCGUCGAGCGGCGGACGGGUGAGUAAUGCAUAGGAAUCUGCCCGGUAGUGGGGGAUAACCUGGGGAAACCCAGGCUAAUACCGCAUACGCCCUACGGGGGAAAGCAGGGGAUCUUCGGACCUUGCGCUAUCGGAUGAGCCUAUGUCGGAUUAGCUAGUUGGUGAGGUAACGGCUCACCAAGGCUGCGAUCCGUAGCUGGUCUGAGAGGAUGAUCAGCCACAUCGGGACUGAGACACGGCCCGAACUCCUACGGGAGGCAGCAGUGGGGAAUAUUGGACAAUGGGCGAAAGCCUGAUCCAGCCAUGCCGCGUGUGUGAAGAAGGCCUUCGGGUUGUAAAGCACUUUCAGUGAGGAAGAAAGCCUUGAGGUUAAUACCCUCGAGGGAGGACAUCACUCACAGAAGAAGCACCGGCUAACUCCGUGCCAGCAGCCGCGGUAAUACGGAGGGUGCGAGCGUUAAUCGGAAUUACUGGGCGUAAAGCGCGCGUAGGCGGCUUGAUAAGCCGGUUGUGAAAGCCCCGGGCUCAACCUGGGAACGGCAUCCGGAACUGUCAGGCUAGAGUGCAGGAGAGGAAGGUAGAAUUCCCGGUGUAGCGGUGAAAUGCGUACAGAUCGGGAGGAAUACCAGUGGCGAAGGCGGCCUUCUGGACUGACACUGACGCUCAGGUGCGAAAGCGUGGGUAGCAAACAGGAUUACAUACCCUGGUAGUCCACGCCGUAAACGAUGUCGACUAGCCGUUGGGCUCCUUGAGAGCUUUGUGGCG